CCUGCGAAACUCGAAUGAACGAACGGGGAGAUUCAUCGUUAUUCAGCGGCGUCGCUGCUCGCUCUCGAUGUUGUCGGUUUCGGCCGUUCGGCACGGGGUUAGCGGUCGUACGUUCGCCGACGGCGUGCACUUCUCCCUUAGUAAUACAUCGCGACCCGUUCGAUGUCGGUCUAAGCGCCGUUCGGGAGUCGCUCCUGUCCCUUCGGGGCGCAGGGGCGACCGUGACGGUUGCCGACCGGCUGUCGGACGGUAUUUUUAACGGAUCGCGUACGCGUUUACGCGCGUCCGGCCCGACGCAAGGCUACGUCGUUCAUCCCCGUCCUGCCGCAGCGCGAGCGGGGGUGCGGCGCGCCUGUUGUCGCAGCCGUGCUGUCUCGGACUGUACGCGUACCGUGUCUGCGAUGAUUCAGUUUCGGGCACUCGCAGGACCCGUCUUGAAACACGGACCAAA
rnacentral:rRNA from 1 species